GCGGGUGUAGCUCAACGGUAGAGCUCCAGCCUUCCAAGCUGGUGACGCGGGUUCGAUUCCCGUCACCCGCU
rnacentral:tRNA from 2 species